GCCUCACUGCUUUGGAUCCAGAGCCACCACCCCGGGAGGCCUGUGGUCCUUGAGUGCUGGGUGAGCGAACACCAGGCUGGCUGGAGACUCAGCAUUGCCUGGGGCUUUCGGGAACUUCCUUCAGAUAAUCACCCUGCCAGACAGUGGAGGACUGCCAGACGAAUUAGGAAGACCUGCCUGACAGGGCCUUUAAAGAUGCCUUUGAGAAGAGGAAAUGCUCUCCUUUCUGAGAAGGAUACCUGUUCAGGUGUUUUUCAGAAUCCAAACUCCAGUUUCAAUUGUGAUUCAAAUAACUCCUAUGCUCCACCAGGCUCAGCCUCUACUAGUCAAAGAAACUUGGCUAAAUAAUCAAGAGGAAACAAAAUGCAAUUCAAAUUCUCACUUGCAUUUUUCAAAGGAUAUUGAGGGGAUCCAGGUCACAGCCCACAAGACACUUCUGAAAAAUGCCUUUUGCCUCCUGCUUGGCUCUCACACGCAGCAAAUUACUUCUGAGCCCCUCGUUCAGCACAGCCUCCAUGUUCAUUCCCUGCACUAA
rnacentral:lncRNA from 1 species